rnacentral:rRNA from 1 species
GACAGAGGAGGCAAGCGUUGUUCGGAAUCAUUGGGCUUAAAGGGCGUGCAGGCGGCCGCGCAAGUGUCCUGUGAAAUCCCACGGCUCAACCGUGGAACUGCGGGGCAAACUGCGUGGCUUGAGGUCGGUAGAGGCGCCUGGAACUCUAGGUGGAGCGGUGAAAUGCGUAGAUAUCUAGAGGAACGCCAGGAGCGAAAGCGGGGCGCUGGGCCGAUUCUGACGCUGAGACGCGAAAGCGUGGGGAGCAAAC